CAAUAGCGUAUAUUUAAGUUGUUGCAGUUAAAAAGCUCGUAGUUGGAUUUCUGCUGAUCGCUGUCGGUCUGCCGUCAGGUGUGUACUGGCAGUGUUUGGCAUCUAUUCGAGAUUGGGUGUCCACUUGAUUGUGUGCACUCGAUGUCGGAGCUAAUACUUUGAGAAAAUUAGAGUGUUCCACGCAGGCGCGUGCCUUGAAUACUGCAGCAUGGGAUAUUGGAAGGCCGAUUGAGCUUUCUUGUUGGUUCUCGGUUUGAUCGGAAUGAUUAAUAGGGAUAGUUGGGGGCAUUCGUAUUCAACUGUCAGAGGUGAAAUUCUCGGAUUUGUUGAAGACGGACUACUGCGAAAGCAUCUGCCAUGGAUGUUCUCAUUGA
rnacentral:rRNA from 1 species